rnacentral:rRNA from 1 species
UACGAAGGUGGCAAGCGUUUGUUCGGAUUUACUGGGCGUACAGGGAGCGUAGGCGGUUGGAUAAGCCCUCCGUGAAAUCUCCAGGCUUAACCUGGAAAGUGCAGAGGGGACUGUUCAGCUAGAGGAUGGGAGAGGAGCGCGGAAUUCCCGGUGUAGCGGUGAAAUGCGUAGAGAUCGGGAGGAAGGCCGGUGGCGAAGGCGGCGCUCUGGAACAUUUCUGACGCUGAGGCUCGAAAGCGUGGGGAGCA